rnacentral:rRNA from 1 species
GAUGAACGCUGGCGGCGUGCCUAAUACAUGCAAGUCGAGCGAACAGACGAGGAGCUUGCUCCUCUGACGUUAGCGGCGGACGGGUGAGUAACACGUGGAUAACCUACCUAUAAGACUGGGAUAACUUCGGGAAACCGGAGCUAAUACCGGAUAAUAUAUUGAACCGCAUGGUUCAAUAGUGAAAGACGGUUUUGCUGUCACUUAUAGAUGGAUCCGCGCCGCAUUAGCUAGUUGGUAAGGUAACGGCUUACCAAGGCAACGAUGCGUAGCCGACCUGAGAGGGUGAUCGGCCACACUGGAACUGAGACACGGUCCAGACUCCUACGGGAGGCAGCAGUAGGGAAUCUUCCGCAAUGGGCGAAAGCCUGACGGAGCAACGCCGCGUGAGUGAUGUAGGUCUUCGGAUCGUAAAACUCUGUUAUUAGGGAAGAACAAAUGUGUAAGUAACUAUGCACGUCUUGACGGUACCUAAUCAGAAAGCCACGGCUAACUACAUG